rnacentral:rRNA from 1 species
CCUACGGGAGGCAGCAGUGAGGAAUAUUGGUCAAUGGGCGCGAGCCUGAACCAGCCAAGUCGCGUGAGGGAAGACGGUCCUAUGGAUUGUAAACCUCUUUUGUCGGGGAGCAAAAGACGCCACGCGUGGCGUUCCGAGAGUACCCGAAGAAAAAGCAUCGGCUAACUCCGUGCCAGCAGCCGCGGUAAUACGGAGGAUGCGAGCGUUAUCCGGAUUUAUUGGGUUUAAAGGGUGGGCAGGUGGAAGAUAAAGUAAGCGGUAAAAGUGAGAGGCCAAACCUCUUCGUGCAGUUGAAACUGGAUGUCUUGAGUGAGCGAGAAGUAUGCGGAAUGCGUGGUGUAGCGGUGAAAUGCAUAGAUAUCACGCAGAACUCCGAUUGCGAAGGCAGCAUACCGGCGCUCAACUGACGCUCAUGCACGAAAGUGUGGGUAUCGAACAGGAUUAGAUACCCCUGUAGUC